GACGAACGCUGGCGGCGUGCUUACACCUGCAAGUCGAACGGAAAGGCCCUGCUUUUGUGGGGUGCUCGAGUGGCGAACGGGUGAGUAACCCGUGAGUAACCUGCCCUUGACUUUGGGAUAACUUCAGGAAACUGGGGCUAAUACCGGAUAGGAGCUCCUGCUGCAUGGUGGGGGUUGGAAAGUUUCGGCGGUUGGGGAUGGACUCGCGGCUUAUCAGCUUGUUGGUGGGGUAGUGGCUUACGAAGGCUUUGACGGGUAGCCGGCCUGAGAGGGUGACCGGCCACAUUGGGACUGAGAUACGGACCAGACGCCUACGGGAGGCAGCAGUGGGGAAUAUUGCACAAUGGGCGGAAGCCUGAUGCAGCAACGCCGCGUGCGGGAUGACGGCCUUCGGGGUGUAAACCGCUUUCGCCUGUGACGAAGCGUGAGUGACGGUAAUGGGUAAAGAAGCACCGGCUAACUACGUG
rnacentral:rRNA from 1 species